GCAGGACAGAUAAGGCAACACAUCGUUUUGAUAUGCUAAUGAAGGGAUAAUGAGUUAUGACGUCAUAAUAUACGCCCCGCCUCUGUAUUACCAUAUAUAGAAUAUAUACCGAAAACAGCAGUUUAAGCAUAAAAUACGGCUGAUUUAAUACUUCAUGAGCAAAAUAUAACUACGAAUCACUCAUGUGUGUUUUUAUAAGUUUACAACAAUCAGAAUAUACGAAGAAUUUCCAUAACGCAUCUGUCGUAUGGGUAUGAAUCUGCGUCCCAAAAGCGCUCGUCAGACGAUUUAAACACGUGUAGCUGGUAUUCCCGAUGAUGGCGAUCUUUUGAUGAUUUAUCAGAGUAAUUUGAAAAGUGUCACACUGAUUUGAAAAAAAAAAGGCUGGAAGAAAAUCUGGUACCUGCUUUGUCUUGAGAUUUAAAUAAAUGAUGAUCUUAUUGGUGAUCAUUUACCUGCACCCUUAUCCUGGUGUCAUAUACAAGAUGAAAUGAUGGAAAGAAAAACCUGAACUUUAGAAACAGGAAGACUGUGUUUUUGAAGAGAGAAGAGGACCAGAACUAAGAAGUCAUACAAUAAACACAUUGACAUCAUAAAAAGAAAUUGCAAUUUUGAGUUUGCAUGCAUAUGUCAGGUUUAAAUGUUGUCACAGAAUUUUUUUUCAGAAAGUCCCUUAU